CCCUCCUUCUUUCUCUGCCCCUCCCCCACUUGCUCAUGCUCUCUCGCUUUCAAAAACUAUAAAUUAAUUAAUAAAUUAAUUAAUUAAAACUAUAUAAAACUAAUGCCAUGUUCUUAAGUACUAGGGUAUUGUUUUAAAAACUGUACACCAGCAGUGUUAUAGAUGGAAGUAGGAACCAACCUGAAAGCAGAGAAACCCAGUAAUUGAGGUAAGAAUUGAGGGCCCAUUACCUUUCCUGUCUUUCAGAGACUUUGACUGCAAUGUUACAUCUACUCAAUGAAUCCUCUGUGGCUCUUACCUUAGUUAUUGUAUUUUCCAUUCAUUUUUUCCCUUCCAUUUCCUUCUGCUAUGUUUUCCAGUCCACUAAUUCUCCUUCUAGCUGAAUCUGCUGUUAAAUCCAUCUAUUGAAUUCUUUACUUUUGAGUUCUAGCAUGUCCAUGUUUCUUUUUAUAAAAAAUAUUUUCCCAUUCUCUGCUGAAAUUUUUAAUCUUUUCUUAUUUCUUUGAACAUAGUAAAAGUUAUUUUAAACUUUGUGUCUGAUGCUUGAGUAUCCAGAGCUCUCCUGAAUCUUUUCCUGUUGUCUGUUUUUCUUUAUUGGUUUUCAUUCCUGUUAUCAUGUCUCUUAAUGUCCCCAGUUAGUGUUUAUUGAUGAUAGCAAUUACAUCCACAAAAUUGUUUGUAGAAAUAAUUUGAGCCCUAAGAUGCUAUCAUCUUUCAUGAUUAGAUUUACAUUUUGUUUGCAGAGCACUUGCAGGCACAAGAAAUUUCCUCAAUUCAAUCUUAGUAAUGGAAGUGACUUAAAGCUGAACUGUUGUCUCUUCCACUUCACACUUACUUCCAUUGUUUAGUUUUUAGGGCCCUGACACAAAGCAAGAAGUUUCUCUCUGUUCCUAUGGCUCACCGACUGGCAGAGUUUUUGUUCACCUUCUCAAACUCUCAGCUGACUUCUCAAGUAUGAGCAAAUGUCCUCAGGAGAAAAGAAGACACAAACCCUAGGCUCAUUCUCUGUAUCUCUGUCCUAGGUAAUUCUUCACCAUCUCAUGACUACUUCAAAAAUUUGCUUCUAAAAGAGGGAAUCAAAAAAUAAACAAAACGAAACAAAUGCAAUGAUUAAAAGAUAUAGUAGAGACAAAAUAAUAUAGAAAAUUACUGAGGUAGGGAAGGAAAAGGACUUUGUCUGGCUUAAUCAGAAAAGGUAUCUUGGUAGAACUGGCAACUAAAAUGAGGUCAUAAUGGUGAUAAGAAAGAAAUCACUUGCAGAUCUAAGGGGAGAUAAUUCUGAAAAAAAGAUGGGGAUGAGCUUGCAUGUGUAAGACGCAGAAGAAAGACCAGAAGGCUGAAAAAUCAAGUACCAUGGCACAGUGAAGAGAAGCAGUAUUGUAGAAAAGGACACGACCAAACAAAUUAGGAGUUCAUUUAUUCUGGUCUCUGUUGGGGAAAUACCAAAAGAUACUAAGCUAGAGAUUUAUGCCUCAGAAAGAUUGCUUGGGCAGUAGUGUGAGGAUUGGACUGUGAAAGGUCAAGAGCAGGGCCAAGAAGUCGGAGAAGGGGAUGCCUCAGAAGUCCACUGAGUGAUUGUGUGCUUUGGACAAUGGGGCAGCAGUGCAAGUGGUGAUAAGUGAGAGGACUCAGGAUAUGUUGUAUCUCCCUUUUGAGAUUUCUGCUUGUUCUCUAGUUCUGUUUGCUUGGGCGUGAAUUCACCAUUUUUUAUUUGGCUCAGACCUGCUCAGUAAAGUAGCUUGACUUCUGUCUUCACGAAACUCAGCAGGGACAGUGUUCCCAUUAUAAGGAAAUAAAUAAAUAAUAAGGCUAAAACAGAUGCGACCAGGCACUGUUUUAUGUGUGUCACAUGUACCAACUCAAUCUUCUCAAUUAUUCUAUGAAGAAAGUACUUACAUCAUUAUCCCCACUUUAAAGAUAAGAAAACAGGAACAAGGAGGAAACAAUUUGCCCCAGGUCAUGGCCAGUGAAGGGAUAUUUGCUGGCUGCUGUGGUUGUUACUUUACUUCACCUUGUUCAUUUCCUUUUUUCUUGUAACAUCACCCUGAUUUCCUUCUGAGAAUUCACUCCUUCCUCCACUAAGACUAUUCCAUUUCUAUGAUGCUGACUACCGUACAGGUCCAGGGGAGGUCGUGUGACUCAAACCUAGCCAAUCAGCACUGUCUUCCACUAGACAGAGGUAAUGGAUCAAGAAUGAAUUAAUCAGAAGCAAUGACAAUGUUGACUGUGAAGUUAGAGGUCUGGAAUCCUUGUUGCCACCACGAGAUGAGAAAACUGAACUCCAGAGAGUUUAAGCAACUUCCUGAAAGCUGCUAGAUAAUAAAGGUGGAGCCGGAUCUGGACCCCAGGAGAUUCACCUCCUCCCAAUAUGCCUUGCUUCCUGUUCACACAGCCACAUUGUUGGAAGAGAAUUCCCAUAAUUCUACACAUCUGGUCAUAUGAGUCAUUAGAUCAAAUCAUAUAAUAGCACGGAGAAUUUCCAAAAAUGUUCCAUGAGGCUGAUUUACAAGAUAAGCUGUUGGAGGAAAUUAAAUCCACACCUCCCAGGUAUACCUUCCUGCAUGAAGUAGGAGACAGGACCUCAGGCUCAUGGCAAGGUAUUUGGCCAGUGGGUUGGGCCAGACAUGCCAUCCCUUUUCUCCAGCAAGGAGGUAGCAGUGGAGGGGAGGAAAGAACGAAGGCAAUGAUGACUGAGAUGGAAAGGGAACCAAGUAGGUGAGAGCGUGGAACAGGGUUUCAGUAGUUAUCAUGAGAUAUGAGAUAUCCUGAGCGUCUGUUGUCUAGAAAGCAUUUCUCAGAAACUCUGAGAAAGAUGUGUAAGAUGCCUAUGUCAUUCCCUUUGAGAAAAAUUACAGUCCAUAUUCACCUUCAAAGUUUAGAGUGAGCUUUGUGUUUUUGUUUAAUAUGCUUUUGCUCAGACCCCAGCCCCGCAGAGCCCCAGCCUAUCUCUUACACUGAAUUAAGGACAUACAGCACUUUGUCACUCCUUCCUAGCAAUGACUCAUUUCUUAGGUUGCUUUACUUUUCCUACAAUUUUUAUCGAACUGGCGAGCAGAGUGGACAUCAGAGAAAUGAGAACUAGAAACUUUUUUUUUUUGCUGUGAUGAGGAAAAAUAUAAGCACAUGAAAAAAAAAAAAGGAAAGUAACUGGAGGAAUUAAAAAAGAAAGGCACCCCCUGAGGAUCCUGGUAACAACCACAUAAGGGAAGUAUGUUAGCCCCCCUCUACCUAUGAAACUAAAACAAAGUUUAGGAAUCUUGUUCAAGUGUGUAAGAGUAAACUAGCAUAUAGCAACCUCAACGUUUCUGCUGCCUAAUCCAUGAAAACUUCCCUUUUAUCUCAUGUGACAUUCUAAUUUAGUUUGGCCAUGGAUGAGGGUAGAGGUGAUCAUUGGCCAGGAUCUAAUCGUGUGACCACACAUAGUGCAAAGGAGACUGGGAAAUGUAAUCUGGCCAUGUGUCUAGGAAAAGGACAAGAUGGAUAUUGAGAAGUCCCGGCAGGCUCUUUCGCUAAGGUAAAACAAUUAGUGAGUAGCCAGCUUUCCUAUCUAUAGGUCUCAGCUAAAGUGCUAUAUCAUUUCGUAUUCUGAAGCUUUAUUUACUUUUUUUGAUUAGGACAGAUCACCUUACACUUGUCACCUUAUACUUCUUUAGUGCCCUUUUCAUAGACCUCCCCCCUCCCCCAUUUAAAAUGUCAACUUCAGACCUUUUUAUUCAUGGCAUGAGCCUUAUCAGAAUUUUGGUUCCCAUUCACCUUGCCUGUAGUAAGAUUUGAUACUGAUUGAAGGGAAAACAGUGAAAAUAAAGGUUCACACCUUUAUCAUCUCCCUGCAAUAAAGAAUUGGGGUGGGGAGGGCAGGGAUGGUGGGUGUUGAAGGUCUCAGCGAGAACAAACCCCCUACCUGAAGGAGAACCGGGGCCAGAGAAGAAAGGGGAAGACCAAGAAGACGGUCUUCAGAAGCUUUUCCAGAAACUUGUGCCCAAGGAUUUGCCCAGAAAUACUGUAUAAUUGCUCAAGUGGCUUUUGUCAAGCACUUUGCUAAAAAUGUUCCCAUUUUUGUAUGCAAAUACUUUUCCUUUUCUACAUCUGAAAGCCACAUGUGAUUUUCAAUCAGCCAGCACAAACAGACUGACAGACAACAUCCCUCAGGAAAUGCUUGCUAUGCCAUCAGGUUUCAACACUCUUCUCCUUCCCCCCUCUGGAGCAAGCCUAUAAUUCUGCAUUUGUGUAAAUACAUAUGUGUGGCAUAUUUAUUCACAUGCUGCUGGGUAGAGCAAAUGACUCUGCAUUCUUUCCUGGUUAUGCAGUCAAGAAGUGACUGCAUGUUCCCCGCAUGCUGUUCAAGCCCACGAUGGGGAGUCCACAGGUGCUUACAAAAUAGGCUAGAGCUUGCCGUGCAAGGACCACAGACCUUUUCUGGCCACCUAUCCCCACCCGCAAGAAGACUUGGGGUAGAUUCUUCCUCCUCCAUGUUGCCUGCUCGGUGCUCCCAUAGUUCUGAAUACAGAGCUUUUGAUGUUCCCCAUACCGUAAAGGCUUGUUUACAUCUGUUCUCAAGUUUAUGGGCAAUCCGUCCAUUUUAUAACCUAGUAGAGACCAUUACAUAUAAUAAUUCUGUAAAAUCUUGUUGAUAAAUGAGUGCAUUGAUAAAGAAAAACUUAGACCCUGAAACAGUUUGCCUCAACAAUUCAGGGCCCUAAAAAUUUGGCAUCAAAUGAUUACUAAGCGUUCUGGUUCCACCUAAAACCUUAAGCAUUUGUUAAACCUAUGUAGUUACCAUAAUGCUUUUCUGCUUUAAUCCUAGUUAGAAAUUUAAAUGUAAUUCUUUAGGUUGUCAACUGCCUUUUCUGAGUGCAUAUGAUGUUCCACAUAAGCACUGUUCCUCUCGAAUUGCGUGUAUCGGGGCGCCUGGGUGGCUCAGUCGGUCGAGCGUCCGACUUCAGCUCAGGUCAUGAUCUCGCGUUCUGUGAGUUCGAGCCCUGCGUCAGGCUCUAUGCUGACAGCUCAGAGCCUGGAGCCUGCUUCUGCUUCUGUGUCUCCUUCUCUCUCUGCCCCUAACCCACUCUCAUUCUGUCUCUGUCUCUCUCAAAAAUAAAUAAACAUUAAAAAAAUUUUUAAUUGCAUGUAUCAAUUUAUCGAAUCUUCACCCUAAAAGUAGGUGCUAUUAGUAACUCAUUUUGUAGACAGAGAAACAAAGAAAACUGUCACAAAGAUGAUAAGUAAUUGGCCCACAGACCCACAGAUGUCAAAGGUCAGGACCAAGACUUGCUCAGGAGGACUGGCUCCCGGUUGAGUUUUUAAUCACUAUGCUAAACUCAUUCAUUUAACAAUUUAAUGAUAUCUAAUGAUGUGCUCAAUUAAAAUAACUUCGAAUAAUGUGAAGUGAUCUGAAGAAAAUGGUUUGAUAUGGUGAGAGAGAGGAACACCAACUAGAGGGGGCCAAGAAAGUUCACUCUACAAGUUCACUUUUGAGUUGAGCCCCAUUGGCUGAGAAGUGACCAGCUGAAAGGGUGAAAGGGUGAUGUGUCCCCAGCAGAAGACACUGCAAGUACAAAGGCUGUGAAACAAGGAGGGCUUGGGAUGCUGAGGACCAGGCCAGCGUAGCUGAGUAGAGUGGUCAGGCAGGAAUAGUACAAGAUGAAGUCAGAGAGACUGGCAGAAGCUACAUCAGUAGAGAUGCUAUUAGAUUCAUAAUCAGUGCAAUGGGAUGCCAUUGGUGGAUUUUAAGUCACUGUGCUUCUUUUGUGUAGAAUUAACUGGGGUGGGGAGAUUUCAGUGGAAGAAGAGGAAUCAUGGGAAAGUUGCUGCUGUAGUUCAGAUAAGUUCAGAUGGGAGCUGAUGGAGCCUCGGACUAAGAGAGUAAUGGUCGGGAAGGCAUGAGUGGUAUCCAGAUGAGGUGGUGAUGAUGAGAAGCACUUAGAAGGUAUUUUGGUGAGACUGUGCCCAUAAGACUUCCCAAAUGGAAGCAGCCUUCAGGAAAGGACUAUGCUGGGGAAUCAGCCGAUCUAGUCCACCCAGAGCGACGUCAGAGGUCAGAAUGUGGGGAUGACCCCUUCUUCCAGCAGGCGUCUUCCAUGCUCUGGUUCCUGCCUUGGAGUCUUGCUGCAUGGAGUCUCUUCAGUGAGAGAUCAUCAUUCAAAAUCUAUUAGAAUGACGUCCAGGAGCUGUCAGAGCUGUUUACCUCCCCUGCCAUCAGGGGAUAUGUGUAUUCACAUAACACUGAAGGGCAUUCACUCAUGCAGAGUGGAUGGGAAUUUGAUAGGUAGAUAUGUCCCCAAGCAGAGGGAACAGGUGGAGUAGGAUGUAAGGUCAGGAGAAUGCAGGGAGAAUUGAGGGCAAGUGUAGAGAGAGAAAGCUGAGAAGAGAUCCAAGAGAGGUGCAUUUAGGGAGGGUGUGGAAUCUUUGUGUGCCCAGUUUAUCCUUAAGGUAGUAGAGAAUCAGCAACAAAUUUUAGGAAAGGGAGAGAGAGCCAUGAAGUGUGAGAGCUGAAAGGAACCCAACAAUUGCCAAUUCCACCUGCUUCGUAUUGUACCUGUCUCCCUUUUAAAGAAAUAGCCCCAGCGUCAGUUUGCAUUCCCUAUGCAUAACCCUACGAACUUCAUUAUAUCAGCAACUCAUGCUGCACUGGAGUCUUUUGCUGAGGGUAAAUCAGCAGAUAGUUUUGAGUGCUUACUGUGUGUCAAGUGCGCAGGAGAAACCAAAGAUUAUUAAGACUGGUCACCUGGCCUCCAUUUCUCCCAGCGAUCUCAAAAUUACCCAGCCUGAAAAUGUCGGACCAAAUGUAAACCUCAGCAUAGAAACUAGAUUCUCUAUGCCACCUCCUCCAUACACUUUCAUGUCGGAGUGUUCCUUUGACCACAACUUCAGGCUCUUCAAAUGGAACACCUUAUUGCACAGAACAGCAGAGAGACUCAUAUCUUAAACUACAUGAAGUGACUGUGUUGAGAAAAGGAACAGCCUUAGAAAUUGAGACAUUAAAAAGCGACUUGCCCGACUUUUCUGAAUAUCCAAUAUCUUUUAGCAGCUUUAGACAUUGGUUUAGUUAUUUAGCAAAAAACAAAAUAAUAAUAAUUUAAACAAAAUAACAGUUUCUUUCUCUAGCUUAAGAGCCUGAGUUUGUAGGAAGUGGGCGAGAUUAUUCGAUACCUGAAUUCCUCUAUCCUUCCACUUCGCCAUUCACUAAUGUUGCCCUUUUCCACGUGGUCACAGAGGACUCACCACUAUGCUGUCCAUAGACUGGCUAGUGACAAAGAGGAAGAGAGAAAUGGCAACCAAAUCCCUCCCUUUUAAGGACAUAACCCAGAAAUAGCAUACAUCACUUUUGUUCAUGUAUCAUUGACCAGAAAGGAGUCACAUGCCCACACCUUGUAGCAAGGAAGGUUGGGCGACCGUGUACUCAGUUAAAAUUCUGGGAUGAGCAUAUUGAAAGAGAGAAGGGAAAAUGGAUAUUGGAGGCCAACGGCAACCUCUGCAUAAUAAGAGUCUGUGAUGAUUCUAGGGUGGUAUAAUAUUGUUAUGUUGACCGUGCUCUGGGUAACACGUGCAACAGUUUUCACUCAAGUUUGGUUCGGGAAUGUUAGGAUACAAACGAAUCAUCUUCAAGAGUUUUUCUUUAGAUGAAAAAGUUUAAGCUCCAAUUCUAGUAAAUCCAGGGAUCUGCAUUUUUAAACGACCCCAUGGAUGAUUUGCAUGCGGUUCCCACAAUUUGGGACUGGUGGCCACCACUAUGGGUGAAUAGAAUUUAGCAAUAGUUUAGAAGCUUUGAAAAAUUCAAGCCUACCCCUGGGGGCAGGCACAUUUAAACUUGAGUUUAGAUCAGCUUUAUAAUCAGGAAACGGUGACGUGACCUGAACUGAAGGAUCUUAGAUUUCCCUAUCACUGUUGAGAUUAUGUUAAUCAGCCUUUCUCACCCCAGAUCCAGAAUUCCUUGAGUGUAGAGAAGUUAUGGCACCUUGAAAACUCGAGUCGUUUACCUCAUGCUGUAAUAAACACAGUCAUAACAAAUUACCAUUUUAUAUGGUUUUACCUGCACUGUUACGGAUUUAUCUCAUUUGGCCUUCUGAGCAAGCGGAAUUUACAGGUGAGGUAGUUGAGAGAUCAGAUUGCCUUGGUCAUAGGCCCCAAAUCCAGAUCCUCCUCUCAGGGCUAGUUCUUUCUCCUGUACUACACUGCUUCUCUUUGCUUCUCAUCCUAAGUGAGAUCAAAAUAGAAACAGCUCAAAAUAGAGCAGAAGCAGCGAGCAGAGCGAAGAGUAGACAAAUGCAUUAUAAAAAGCAUGAGGUAACAACACAGAUGAACCUCCAAGCAUUACGCUAAGUGAAAGAAGCCAGACACAAAAGACCUCGUAUUGUAUGAUUCCAUUUAUGUGAAAUGUCCAGAAAAGACAAACCUAUAGAGAUGGAAAUAAAUUAACAGUAGCCUAGGGCUGAGGGUAGGGACAGAUUAACUGUAAAUGGGCAUGAGGAAUCUUACCGAGGAGAUGAAUAUAUUCUAAAACCGGAUUAUGCUGAUGGUAACACAACUCAGUAAAUUUACUAACAAUCACUGCAUGCGCGCUUAAAAAUGAAUGGAUUUUGUGGCCUGUAAAUUGUAACUCAAAAACGUUGCUGUGAAAAAGCAUGAAGUGUUAACAUUAGAAGUAUACAUAUCAUUUUUGGCUCUGCCCCUUAAAACUUGGAUUUCGUCGAGAAAGUAAUGCAACAUCCCUCAGACCCUGGAUUGUCAUCUCUAGAAUGGGGAUAAAAAUACUGUCUCUUACAGCAUGUAAUUUCUUAGCACCCUGGGAGAGCAGCAUGAAAGUCAGCUUGGGGGGCAUCUGUCCACUUUGGCUGCCCUCAGAUUUGUACCACCCAACAUUCCCUUUUACUUCUUAACUGAAACCCAGAAACUGCUCUCCUGUCAACACACACAUUUGAAGGGCUAACUUCUGUCUUGCCUCAUCACGCACUAAUGGCACAGGCUGGACCGUGCAGCUGAGUCACAGCCCUUGCCGUUCACAUCAGAGCGUCACAAUAACCAAGAUGGCGGCUCUGAUUGGUAAACACUCUUUCCGUCAGACCAGGGCAAAUAUGCCAGGCCCCUUGUUUUCCUGGAAUUACGUUCUGACAAAAAAUGAUUUAAAUUAUUCUAAGUUGUUUAUUUUGUCGUCGUCUUCCUUCCUCAUGUGAUUCUUGAGCGUUUAGCUUUAACACGUUAUGUUCCUCCGAGUAAGCCUUUUAAUGUCAACUUGUCAAAAGCCAAUUGCAUUUUCUUGGAGGUCGAAACACUUGAGAGCUGAUUUUUUUGAAAAUUAUUAUUUAAGCCAGCAGCACUUUUCUACCUAGCAUUCCAGGAAAUCUGUUGUGUGUGUGUGUGUGUGUAGGCUCAACCUUCUUCAGGUCCAGGAGGCACUUAUAAAAAAAUGCAGGCUCUACUGGGGCAGAGCUAAAAAUCUCCUCCUCCUGUGUUGCAGAGGUUUGCUGUGCUGUUUAAUGCAUCCUUAGCUGAUUGGCACACCAGCUUCCUGGUAUAAUUUAAUGUUAAAUAACACUCUAAAACUGUGUCAGGAAAUAGGGACAUGUGAAAUGUCACCUUUGGAAGAAAAAAAAAGAAAACAAUUACAGUUAUGACAUGCAAUCUGUAUCAACCUCUUUUGAGAUAAUUAAAGAAAGAUAACAGAAAACCCUAGCCAAUAAAUGGGCUAGCAAGGAGGAAAAAAGAAGAGCCUUUGUAUUUCCAUGGUUCCACAUUUCCUUGGCACAUCCAAGCCAGUCUUUUUCUGAGUCUACUGAACAAGCAUUUGUCAUAAGCUUUACUGUACCAUGAAGUUAUGAUUAAUAUUACAGCUCAAGUACAGCGGGUUGAAAGACCACAUUCAUUUUCAAAGUCACGUCGCAUUGAUUAGAAUUCACUGCAGGUUAUUCAAAUAACGAUCCUCUCUUUCCCCAGGAGAAUCUCUGUCUGAUUUUUCUUUAUCCUCAUUAAAGAUCCCAGGUGCAGACAAAGCUUUACGUACUUCUAAUUUGCAUUAUCCUUGGGAAGGAGGUAAUUCACAUACCUUUAGUAUAUAGCACUUGUUUUUGUACUUUGCUCUUUGCUGGCGCCUAUUUAAAUAAAUCAAGAAACUUAGCCUUUAUAAACCCUUAGACAAUAGAAAAUGCCAAAUUUGUAUUAUCUUUAGGAAUGUGUCCAUGGAUCCCCAACCCUCCAUGAUAAUUCAGAUAAAUUGAGGCAUUUUUGUUCCGUUCUUGGCUGUACUCAGCUUAAAAAGAUAAUGAUUUCUUCUUUCUUUCUUGGGGGAGAAAUUCAUUUUAGGUGUAAAGAGCAGCUCAGAGCAUUUUUCAGCCUUACCAGAGCUGAAAAGUAAAGGCUCGUCAAAGAAUAAAUGUGGUAUUCAGAGAAUCCCCAACAGAACUUGAUAUGUUGUUUGGCUAAUUAGAUAAAUUUCUAUGCAAGGGCUGAUCAAUUAUUGUUUCUGUUGAGAUAAUUUAUUAGCUACUCUUCCCGGCUUAGCAUUUUUAUAGAAUCACAUAUGGAUUUCAUUGGCAUAAGGUGUGGGCCUCAAAAUUGCGACAAAGAAUUCUGCCUCGGACUAUUUUUACCUUUAGUUUUUGUGUAAUGAGUUUAGCCUGAAGCAGACUGACAGCAUUGUUGACAUUUCAUUGAGUUUCCAUUUCUCAAGAGAGGAGAAAUUUUAGCUAAUUAAAUAAUGUUAGAGUGUCUUAGAAACUACAAAGGCAACACAAAACCAUGCGGCAGUCACACCAUAUUUGUUAAGACCACUUGUAAAUUUCUGAGAUCUUUAGAAAAUUGAAGUCUGCAGAACAAAACUUUUAAAGUGACUCAGAGGCUCAAAAUGAUGUGGCUGACAUAAUUGGAAAGAUAGGAGAAGAACAACUGGAAGAGAAUUUUCAUAAAAAUAAUCAUUUUGCAGUGUGUGUAUCAGGAGUGAAUAUGAUUGUUUCCCUGGACGGGACAGCAGCUUAAUGGCUCAGAAACCUGCAUGUGUAUGUGUGUGUGUGUGUGUGUGUGUGUGUGUGUGUGUGUGUUUCGCAUUAAAAGUUACAUGUGCAAUUUACAGGGUGGAAUUGUAACUUCCAAGCCAGCGAAUCAGCAUUAACCAUGCAUUUAGGUACUGAUGAAAACUGGGCUAUAACCUCCUCAUUUAUUUUUCAGGGAUAACAUGGUUUUCUGUGAUCUGCGAACCUGCUCCUGAUAAGUCUUUGCACACAUAACCAAUAUAAGAGAAAAUUAAACAUUUUGUUUAUUUAUUUGUUGUUUAUUUGUUGUAUUUAUUCAUUUCUUCUAGAAAAUUGGUAAUCAGGAUCAGAACCUCAUUGACUCUGAGUAAAAUGAAAUGGAGUGUGCACAUGUGGAAACAACAACCACCACCAACUUUUUCAAUUCAGUGAGGGACUGUUUAACAGGGAGUAAAAUUUUAAUGAAAAAUAACUAGAGAUUCUACUCAGAAAUGUCUUCUCAGCUGAGCUCGAUAGGGUAGCCCCAUGGAUUCCAUAUAAACAUGAGUCAAUGACAGAACCCAAAAGCAAGACAGAAAUGUUACCAUGUCCACUUAGAGAAAUAUGCUAAACCAUUCUGAUUGUAAGAUGACAACAUAGCUGUUGACAUUCUAGAGCCAUGUUGAAAAUGAUGAUAAAAUGAUAUAUAAACCUACUCUGGAAUAAAUAAAGCUUGCGAAGCGCAUUUCAUAAUGAAAUAGACACCUACAGCGUGUGUAUGCGUGUAUGACGUGAAUGCAUACACACACAUGCACAUCUGUGUGUGUGUCUCCAAUCUGAGAAUCUCAGAGAGGAAGGCAUGGAGCAGCCAUUGAGAUUUAUUUCCCCUUUAAGCCUCAGGGAACCUUUGAGAUUUCAUUGACAUUAAUUAAGCCCACCCCAGGAUCAUGGGCUUGGUGGGCUUGGUGAACUUUUGUUUUAAAAAGCAAGCUUGCUUGCCAGAGGAGUUUUUUUCCCAAGCUCUCAUUUUAUUGUGGUUUCCAGCAGGGGAUCUUGUUUCAAGGGAUAUGAUCAAAGCAAAGGACAUUUCUUCUGGGACAUAUUUUACAUAGAUUAAAUCUCAUUAUGCAACUUACUCUUUAGUCUAUAUUCUUUUUUAUAAGCUCCCAUUGUAUGAACGAAUUUAACAUAGAAAAGUGUGAAUUUAUUACAUCAGAUGGAUAUACUAAGCUCCAAUGAAGUUAAGGUCCAGUAAAGUCAAACACUUUUCAUUUUUCUUAUCAACAGUGAAUUUCAGCUGGCAGAAUCUUAGUGAAAUCUUAAAUG